UUGAACGCUAGCGGCAUGCCUUACACAUGCCAGUCGAACGGCAGCACGGGGCAACCUGGUGGCGAGUGGCGAACGGGUGAGUAAUGUAUCGGAACGUGCCCAGUAGCGGGGGAUAACUACGCGAAAGCGUAGCUAAUACCGCAUACGCCCUACGGGGGAAAGGGGGGGAUCGCAAGACCUCUCACUAUUGGAGCGGCCGAUAUCGGAUUAGCUAGUUGGUGAGGUAAAGGCUCACCAAGGCUUCGAUCCGUAGCUGGUUUGAGAGGACGACCAGCCACACUGGGACUGAGACACGGCCCAGACUCCUACGGGAGGCAGCAGUGGGGAAUUUUGGACAAUGGGGGCAACCCUGAUCCAGCAAUGCCGCGUGUGCGAAGAAGGCCUUCGGGUUGUAAAGCACUUUUGGCGGGAACGAAACGGUGCCGGAUAAUACCUGGCGCCACUGACGGUACCCGCAGAAUAAGCACCGGCUAACUACGUG
rnacentral:rRNA from 1 species